rnacentral:rRNA from 1 species
AUUGAACGCUGGCGGCAUGCUUUACACAUGCAAGUCGAACGGCAGCGCGGGCUUCGGCCUGGCGGCGAGUGGCGAACGGGUGAGUAAUACAUCGGAACGUGCCCAGUAGUGGGGGAUAGCUCGGCGAAAGCCGGAUUAAUACCGCAUACGACCUGAGGGUGAAAGCGGGGGAUCUUCGGACCUCGCGCUAUUGGAGCGGCCGAUGGCAGAUUAGCUAGUUGGUGGGGUAAAGGCCUACCAAGGCGACGAUCUGUAGCUGGUCUGAGAGGACGACCAGCCACACUGGGAGUGAGACACGGCCCAGACUCCUACGGGAGGCAGCAGUGGGGAAUUCUGGACGAUGGGCGAAAGCCUGAUCCAGCAAUGCCGCGUGUGUGGUGAAGGCCUUCGGGUUGUAAAGCACUUUUGGCGGGAACGAAAAGGACUGUGCCAAUACCACGGUUCGAUGACGGUACCCGCAGAAUAAGCACCGGCUAACUACGUG